rnacentral:rRNA from 1 species
GCAGUCGCCGCGGGAAUACAGAGGGUGCAAGCGUUAAUCGGAAUUACUGGGCGUAAAGCGCGCGUAGGUGGUUUGUUAAGUUGGAUGUGAAAGCCCCGGGCUCAACCUGGGAACUGCAUCCAAAACUGGCAAGCUAGAGUACGGUAGAGGGUGGUGGAAUUUCCUGUGUAGCGGUGAAAUGCGUAGAUAUAGGAAGGAACACCAGUGGCGAAGGCGACCACCUGGACUGAUACUGACACUGAGGUGCGAAAGCGUGGGGAGCAAACAGGAUUAGAUACCCCAGUAGUCCCUGUCUCUUAUAC